rnacentral:rRNA from 1 species
UCCCCCACAUUGGAACUGAGACACGGUCCAAACUCCUACGGGAGGCAGCAGUGAGGAAUAUUGGUCAAUGGGCGAGAGCCUGAACCAGCCAAGUAGCGUGAAGGAUGACUGCCCUAUGGGUUGUAAACUUCUUUUAUAAAGGAAUAAAGUCGGGUAUGGAUACCCGUUUGCAUGUACUUUAUGAAUAAGGAUCGGCUAACUCCGUGCCAGCAGCCGCGGUAAUACGGAGGAUCCGAGCGUUAUCCGGAUUUAUUGGGUUUAAAGGGAGCGUAGAUGGAUGUUUAAGUCAGUUGUGAAAGUUUGCGGCUCAACCGUAAAAUUGCAGUUGAUACUGGAUAUCUUGAGUGCAGUUGAGGCAGGCGGAAUUCGUGGUGUAGCGGUGAAAUGCUUAGAUAUCACGAAGAACUCCGAUUGCGAAGGCAGCCUGCUAAGCUGCAACUGACAUUGAGGCUCGAAAGUGUGGGUAUCAAACAGGAUUAGAUACCCUGGUAGUCCACACGGUAAACGAUGAAUACUCGCUGUUUGCGAUAUACUGCAA